AUGCCAGGAACUCACAAUGACAUCAACGUGCUGCAGUGCUCCCCUGUCUUUACCAAGCUUGUUGAAGGUCAUUCUCCUCCGGUGAACUUCGAGGUCAAUGGGCGGCACUACAACAAGGGGUGCUACCUAGCUGAUGGCAUCUAUCCGAGAUGGUCUACAUUUGUGAAGACUAUCUCAAAUGAUGUGCCAGGAGGCAAGAAGUCCCACUUUGCCAAGGUGCAGGAGGCUUGCAGGAAGGAUGUCGAGCGGGCAUUUGGUGUGCUCCAAUCUCGAUUUGCUGUUGUCCGGUACCCUGCUCAGGUUGGGUCAAAAUAUCAAAUGUGGGAGAUCAUGACUUGCUGUGUCAUCUUGCACAACAUGAUCAUCAAGAGCGAGCAGGAAGAGCCAGUGUUUGACACUGAACCAUACUACAUGCAGGGUCCUCUAGCCGAAGUUGAUCACCAGCUACCGGCAACCUGGACUGCCUACCUCAGUAUGCGUCAGGAGAUCCGAGACCCACAGGUGCAUCCUCAACUGCAGCAGGAUCUGAUGGAGCACCUAUGGAGGAUCAAGGGUGACGCCGGACUCGACGUGUGA
rnacentral:rRNA from 1 species